AGGCAUGAUGGGCAGUAAGUAAGUAAGUAAGUUAGGGUGCUAUUGCCUUAAAUAAAUAAUAAAAUAAACAUAUAUAUGGCUAAUCUCAUUAUUACCUUAAGUUAUUAAAGCAUAUUGAAACUAGAGAGUGAGGUUAGAAAUAUCAUUACAAAUUAGCCUAUGUAUGAACAUAAUGUGGCUGUAUGAUUGUAGGAUGUGGUUUAAUGGGUUUUUGUGCUCUACCCUAAGAUAUUUUUCCUAAGUAAUAUAGUAGCGAUUUUAUUUAAAUAGACAAGCAUGCAAGUUUUAAAUCACUUUUAAUGUAUAGCUUUUAUAACUAAAUAGUGGAAUACACAAGAUUGAACAAACCUGUUGAUCUCUUAACUGACAAAGUAGAUGAACAUUUUGAAACUUUUGAGCAAGACCUUGAUGCAAUCAUUGAACAGUGUGAGGAAGCUGUUGGGGAAAUUAAUGAUAAUACCACUGUGUGGCAAAAACGAAUAAACAAUCUUGAGGAAAACUGGGAGAAUGCUAGAGGAGCUAUAUUUCACAGUGUUUUGUGUUCAUUUGCCCCUCCCACUUCUUCAUUACAUUGCUCUAAAAUUGAUUGCACCAAUGUUGUGCAAUUGAGGUGUAAGCAGUGUGGUGUUUUUCAAUAUUUAUAUGUCAACUGUGAUGAAGAAGUACAUCAGUGUCAGCCUCUUCAUGAUCGCGAAGUUUGGAUAAAUGGGUAUUUUCAAUACAUUCUUCCAACUGAGUCAAUAACUGAUGAUGGAAAGCUUGUUCCUGUUGGUCGUGCAUGUCCGUUUCUUUACCCAACAUCUUGCUUGGUGUGCGGGGAAUCUACUUUGAAAACAUUGAACAGCUCAAAAGUUAUACUCAUCACAUCUGAAGGUUGUUUUGACCUCAAUUGGUUUAACAUACACUGUUCAUCAUGUACUUGGCAAUGGUCACCAAAUUCGUUUGACUGUAUAGUUCAAAGUGGGUUUUGGCCAGGAAGUCCUGCCAAUGUAAACUACUUGUUUCAUCAAGAGCUGUUUCUUCUUUGGGAUGCCUUCCGGAAGCAAAUGCCAGGCUCCUCACAAACUGCUUUUAUUAGAAGCUUGGAAGACAUGUCUCACUCCAAAAAAAAGGGCAGAUGUAAUUACUGCAGCAACAUUUAGGAAGGCCUUUGCAGAGUGGUGCUAUUGUCAAUUUGAACUGGCUUCGCUACAACUUCAAGAUUGGAGAAAAUGCCCACCAUGCAGUGUUGACCAACACUCUUGUCAUAUUGAUGGCAACCACAAGGUUUAUAGAUAUGAUAAAGUAUCAAGGGGUACAAGUCCUUCUUAUUACAAUGACCAUCUGAUUGUCGAAAAUGCGAAAGUAGAUUCUCAUAUAAGAAGCUUGAGUUCCAAAAUCACGAAGAAACAUAUGAAAGAAGAUAGUUUUUGUGGUGAUACACAUUGGAAAGCUGCAAAAGCUGUGUCGAAAGCGAAGAAGAACCAGGAUGAAACUGGAUUGGUAGUGGCUGGCUGCAGACAUUCUGUUUGUCAAGCCGCCUUGAAUAUGUUUAGAGGAGAAGUUUAUGGUUAUGCUCACUAUCUACAUUUAAAUUUUGUUCAUCCAAACAAUGUUAGGUUCUUGUGGGAGGAUGUGAUAUGUAAGUACUGGCCAUGGGCUAAGCGAGUCACUUCAGAGCAGAACAAGAGGGCAUUAACUGAUACAAAACCAGCCUUGUCACUCAUGCAUGGAAAAUCGCACAGUUGGAACUGUCAGGUUAUUUGGAGUGGAAGAUGGCAAGAAGGUGCUGCUGCAACUCCUGGGGAGGAAGUUGAACAAAUCAACAGCUAUCUCUCCAGACUUGGAUCCACCACCAAGAAUAUGAUAGCAUCAGGUCGCGAGGAUUGCAUCACUGAGCAUCUAUUGAGUUGGAAUAAGCGAAAAAUCUCUAAUCUACCUAAGCUGUUGGUUCUUCGCCUGAAAAAGACGGAAAAGAAACUGGACGAGGCGAAAACGGAACUUGCUACACGUAUGUGCGUGAGAUUAAUUUAUCAGACGCUGAUUUGGAUCCCUCAGUUGUGUCAUGGAAAAGAGAUGUUCAGCAGUUUGCUACUGAACAAAAAGCAGGAAAAAAUGUUGACGUUGGGGAUUUAGGAGAAUUCUACCUUUUACAUCAUGUGGUACAAAAUGCUCAACAACUAAAUACGUUUAUAAAACAAAGCAGUUGAAUAAGAACAUGGAAAGAUUGCGUGUUUUGUCGUCCGAGCUUUUGAAUUCCACCGUAACAGAGGAGGAGCUUCUUGCUCGGGGGAAGGUUGAACUUGCGAAAGUAACAUUGUCCAGGUUGCAGAGAAAAUUGGAGAUGCUGUACUUUUCCAUUACGAGGCGGAUGAAGGAGAUUUCGUCGCUUGCUGAUUCUAGUAAAAGGAGAUCAUCUAUGCGAGCAAAAUGCUGAAGGGAAAAAACAGAAAUAGCGUCCACAGUAGAAGAGUUGAAUUCAGUUAACAGCCUUCUGAAACUGCCUGCGACAAGUGCUGAGGCUAUUCUUGCGGGAGAUUUUCUUUGGUCGUUUAGUGAGGAACCAACAACUACGAAAAGUCUUCCUGUACGAUACAAGGCACAGGUAGUAGAAAAGUUCAUGCUGGUUCAAAGGCUAAAAGAAGAAGAAGACCAAAUAAGAAAAGAAAUGAAGAACUUCCUCGUGUUCUAUUUAAAGAAUAUUUUGGACAACCUUCAUCAAAGAAAAGCAGACAUUAAUGAGCGAAUAGAACUUAUUGGCUGAUAGGAAGUGUUAUUCCUUGCGUUGCGAAAGAAUCGAGACAUUACAGGGUCAACUUGCUAUUACUAACAAAGGAAUAGCUUUUGCCAAAAGCCAGAUUGCAGUUGGUUUGAAAUAUUUUCGACAUCUAGGUACUUCUCUGGCAAGCCUGGAAGAAAUUGAUGAGA